GCAGUGGCACAUGCCUGUAGUCCCAGCUACUGAGGAGGCUGAGGCUGGAGGAUCACUUGAGUCCAGGAGUUCUAGGCUGUAGUGUGCUAUGCCGAUUGGGUGUCCAAACUAAGUUCAGCAUCAGUGUGGUGACAUCCUGAGAGCAGGGGACCACCAGAUUGCCUACGGAGGAGUGAACUAGCCCAGGUUGGAAACAGAGCAGGUCAAAACUCCUGUGCUGAUCAGUAGUGGGAUUGCACCUGUAAAUAGCCACUGCACUCCAGCCUAAGCAACAUAGCGAGACCCCAUCUCUU
ensembl:misc_RNA Metazoa_SRP Metazoan signal recognition particle RNA